rnacentral:rRNA from 1 species
UGCAGUCGAACGAAGUAGCAAUACUUAGUGGCAGACGGGUGAGUAACAUGUGGGUAUCUGCCCUUUGGCCUGGAAUAACACGAGGAAACUUGUGCUAAUACUGGAUAAGUCUUUACGGAGAAAGCUUUAUGCACCAUUGGAUGAGCCCGCACUUGAUUAGUUUGUUGGUGGGGUAAUGGCCUACCAAGACUGUGAUCAAUAGCUGAUUUGAGAGGAUGAUCAGCCACAUUGGGACUGAGACACGGCCCAAACUCCUACGGGAGGCAGCAGUGGGGAAUCUUGCACAAUGGAGGAAACUCUGAUGCAGCGAUGCCGCGUGAGUGAAGAAGGCCCUUGGGUUGUAAAGCUCUUUCGUCGGGGAAGAAAAUGACUGUACCCGAAUAAGAAGGUCCGGCUAACUUCGUGCCAGCAGCCGCGGUAAUACGAAGGGACCUAGCGUAGUUCGGAAUUACUGGGCUUAAAGAGUUCGUAGGUGGUUGAAAAAGUUGGUGGUGAAAUCCCAGAGCUUAACUCUGGAACUGCCAUCAAAACUUUUCAGCUAGAGUUUGAUAGAGGAAAGCAGAAUUUCUAGUGUAGAGGUGAAAUUCGUAGAUAUUAGAAAGAAUACCAAUUGCGAAGGCAGCUUUCUGGAUCAUUACUGACACUGAGGAACGAAAGCAUGGGUAGCGAAGAGGAUUAGAUACCCUCGUAGUCCAUGCUGUAAACGAUGUGUGUUAGACGUUGGAAAUUUAUUUUCAGUGUCGCAGCGAAAGCGAUAAACAC